rnacentral:rRNA from 1 species
GACGGAGGCCCCGAGCGUUGUUCGGAAUCACUGGGCUUAAAGCGCGUGUAGGCGGGACGGUAAGUACCUUGUGAAAUCCCCGGCUUCAACCCGGGAACUGCUCGGUAUACUGCCGUUCUUGAGGCAGGUAGGGGUCGCUGGAACCUUAGGUGGAGCGGUGAAAUGCGUAGAUAUCUAAGGGAACGCCUGUGGCGAAAGCGGGCGACUGGGCCUGUCCUGACGCUGAGACGCGAAAGCGUAGGGAGCAAACGGG